rnacentral:lncRNA from 1 species
UUUUUUGGCCUCAGUGAAGAUCUACAUCCUUGCAGGCUGCAUUAACAGAGCUGGUUUGAAAUGAGCUUUAGUUUCACUCAAUAAUGGGCUGAACAGACAAAAGGAAUACAUGGUUAUGUCGAUCCCAGCUAAUUACAGCCUCUUGAAAUAAUUUUCAGGAAUAAAUAUACAAUUAAUUUCUUAUAAGUAUAAGCUGCUGAUUGUACAAUAUCUCACUGUUGGGCACCAGAGUUUCAUAAAUAUUUUAAAGGAAAAAGCUGCAUAAAACUGAAGGUGGUUAACACAGAUUUUUUUCUUCUAAAACAAUGGUUUAUAAAACAUUUUUAAUUCUGUGAGUUUUUAAAUCUUCAAAAUAACUUACCAGCUCAUGUCUUUUAUUUUGCCCAGACAAUGUAACACUACUACAAGUCUAGUUCUUUUUGCCAAGCUUUACGUUUUGAAAAAGCUCAAAGUUAUAGAGAAUUACAAGAGCAAUACAAUUAGUUAUAAUUUUUUAAAUUAACGGACUCAUUCCAAGUUUAUAUUUUCAAAUUGUCAUGGUUCUAAGGAUUAAGUAGUAUAUACACCCCUGCAUAUAUGUAAAUAAGGCAUACUUCUAAUACAAAAGUAUUACUACUAAAUUAUUUGUGUAUUGGGGAUAAGAAACAAAUCCUAAAUAUUUUAGUAGCAUAACAAGGAAGGGAAUGUAUUGAUAUUAAAAAAGAAAAAAAAAUCUCUUUCUGACCAGGGUGAGGCAGUAUCUAAGGCGAUAGCCAACUAGGGGACAGUCUGGCAUCUUCAGUUUAGAAAUUGCCUGGAAGAUUGCAUCUUAUUUUUAACAAGUCAUACUAGAAUAUAUUCGUAGUGAAGACAACUUUCAAACAAUAAUACAGUUUUAAUUUCAAAUACAGAAGGGAAAAAAAACAAGAAAAGGAAUGCAUUUACAUCAGUCUCCUGAGUCACUCUGUGCCUGAGGUGGGAGAGUGAAGUCAAGAUACCCUCACCCAAGUUCAGGAACUUGAGGAGGUAAAAUUCCUAAGAGACCCUAAAGGACCCCCACAGAAGCUUGCCAACGGUCCCCUGGCGUCUGCCAAAGCACGGUCAGCAGAGAGAAAAGAGGAUCUGAG